UACGGAGGGGGCUAGCGUUGUUCGGAAUUACUGGGCGUAAAGCGCGCGUAGGCGGAUCUGCAAGUCGGGGGUGAAAUCCCGAGGCUCAACCUCGGAACUGCCUUCGAUACUGCGGGUCUCGAGUCCGGGAGAGGUGAGUGGAAUUCCUAGUGUAGAGGUGAAAUUCGUAGAUAUUAGGAAGAACACCAGUGGCGAAGGGCGGCUCACUGGCCCCGGUACUGACGCUG
rnacentral:rRNA from 1 species